CCUGAGAAACCCAAAAGAUCGAAUGGGGAGAUUCAUCGUCAGCUCAUUUUGUAUAUAUAUAUGUUAUGAUAUGGGUUAUUAACUUGUUAAUAUUGCCUAUACAUUCUUAUAUAUUUAAUUGCAAGAUGUUGUCGGCGUGCACUUCUUUCCUAGUAGAACGUCGCGACCCGUUGGGAUGUCGGUUUACGGCCCAAGUUGGUAGUCUUUAAUAUAUUAUUAUAUUAAAGUCCCUUGGUGUUUUCUAACCGGCUACUCGGCGGUAAACGUAUGGUAUUAAGCCGCAAUUAUUUGCGUUUAUUCCCGUCGCAAGCGAGGCCAAUUUCUGAUAGUAUGGACUUAGUGCCGUCGUUGGUAUUGGCCAGCUGUUGGUUGUUACGGUGUACUAAAACUGGCUUAUAAUAAUUACCGGUCGGCGAUGCUACUGCUUUGGGUACUUUCAGGACCCGUCUUGAAACACGGACCAAGGAGUCUAACAUGUGCGCAAGUCAUUGGGAUUAUUUUUUUAAAAUUAAACCUAAAGGCGCAAUGAAAGUAAAGGUCGUCCUUGUGUCGACUAAGGGAGGAUGAGUUAUGUUAUGAUAUAGCUCCGCACUCCCGGGGCGUCUCAUUCUUAUUAUAAGAAGAGGCGCACUUAG
rnacentral:rRNA from 1 species